AAGCAAUGAUGAUUGAAGUAUAGUCUGACUUGGUAUUGCCAAGACUUACCCUUUUGGCUCUGACCAGGGCAUGAUCACGUAAUCUUCUCUCUGAGCUG
rnacentral:snoRNA from 1 species